AUCGCACCAGGCGCCGUCGUACGCCGGACCAACGAUGCAUCAUAACAUUAACUAGUUGUAAGAAAGGCGGCAGGAAUAGGAGCAUCCAUACGCGCACGCAAUUAGACCCCCGCCGUGAGAUGCGUCGGCGGCUGUGAGGCAGGUGGGGACAUGCCUGUGAGGCUGAAAGGGCUUCCGGACGCAUAAAUCGCACCAGGCGCCGUCGUACGCCGGACCAACGAUGCAUCAUAACAGUAACUAGAUGUUAGAAAGGCGGCAGAAAUAGGAGCAUCCAUACGGUCACGCAAUUAGGACCCCGCCGUGAGAUGCGUCGGUGGCUGUGAGGCAGGUGGGACAUGCCUGUGAGGCUGAAAGGGCUUCCGGACGCAUAAAUCGCACAGGCGCCGUCGUACGCCGGACAAACGUUGCAUCAUAACAUUAACUAGUUGUAAGAAAGGCGGCAGGAAUAGGAGCAUCCAUACGCGCACGCAAUUAGACCCCCGCCGUGAGAUGCGUCGGCGGCUGUGAGGCAGGUGGGACAUGCCUGUGAGGCUGAAAGGGCUUCCGGACGCAUAAAUCGCACCAGGCGCCGUCGUACGCCGGACCAACGAUGCAUCAUAACAGUAACUAGAUGUUAGAAAGGCGGCAGAAAUAGGAGCAUCCAUACGGUCACGCAAUUAGAACCCCGCCGUGAGAUGCGUCGGUGGCUGUGAGGCAGGUGGGGACAUGCCUGUGAGGCUGAAAGGGCUUCCGGACGCAUAAAUCGCACCAGGCGCCGUCGUACGCCGGACCAACGAUGCAUCAUAACAGUAACUAGAUGUUAGAAAGGCGGCAGAAAUAGGAGCAUCCAUACGGUCACGCAAUUAGAACCCCGCCGUGAGAUGCGU
rnacentral:lncRNA from 1 species